AGCUGAGAAAAGGGAACUCGGACUAAAGCCUCUACAGUCUACACAUUAAAUAAUUGCCAGUUCCUUCAAUAUCUUUGUUCGUGUUCCAAUGAAGUUAAUAAAAUAUAUAUAAAUAAUCAGUUCAGAGAAUUUUCUUUAUUUUUUUCACAAUAUUUGUCUAAAAGAGCUUAUAAAAACCCAUCACUACGUUUGCGUUCUUGUAUCCAUUGUGUAUUAUCUCGCAUCCAUCUUUUCAUUUUACGCCUCUUUAUUUCUCUCUUCAGAUUUUGUUUUAUUCACUCUUUAUCACUCUCAUGCAUACAUAAUUCAUCGUGUAUCUCGUAAAUAUUCAUUGAUUCAUCUUCUUUUGUUUCCAAUCCCUUAUCUUUUCUGUUUUGCUACAUACGAAUAACUGUUGUCAAAAGAUCCAAUUGUAAUUUGCUUUAAUUUUUAGAUAAGAUCUAGGGUUUCUUUCUUUUCCUCCAAAUCUUGCUGCAUAUUAACAAGAUCGUGUUUUCAUGCUUGCUAGGGUUCUAGAUCCAUCCUUACAAAGCCUAAAUACACAAACAUACAUACUCAUAUAAUAAUACAUACCUAUAGUUAAUACGAAGAACAACUUUUAUAUUCACUACUAUGAAUUGAUAUUGUAGGAAUAUAUAUAUACAGAGGGAGCUUCCUUGAGUCCAUUCACAGGUUGUGAUAUGAUCCAAUUAGUUUCCGACUCAUCCAUCCAAAUACCCAGUCACUAAAACUAAGCUAGACUCGUUAAAUGAGUGAAUGAUGCGGUAGACAAAUUGGAUCACUGAUUCUCUUUGGUUGGACUGAAGGGAGCUCCCUCUUAAUUUUUAUAAUCUUCUUGAUCUCUUGAAUUUUCAAUUGUCCUUUCAGAAAAAAACGUUACAUACUUAGCCAACAGGCAUAUUCAAAGCUAUUGGGGUUACAUGUUCCAGACUUUCGUCUUGAAUACAUGAACAUUACUGAGGUGUGGAUAUUUAUAAAUCUGGAUUCUCUGUUCUCCGAGACUUGGCGGCUGUAUUUUACAAGGCUUGUUCAUUUUGUAGAUGGCUAGGGUUUAUUGUAAGGAAAAGAGAAACAUGAAAAAAAGAGAAGAAAAAAAGAGAAGCAUGAAGACAAAAUUAUUAGCUUUGUUUUCUCUUGGGGCUUGGAGAGAGGUCAUGGUGCUGCAACAAGUUCCCAUAAUCUUUUCAUUUAUGCUGUAUUACAUUUCCCAAUUACGUUCCUCUCUCUCUCUCUUCAAUGACAUUCUUUAGUCUUUUUAUAGUUGAAUUGAAAUUUCUUGUUUUGAAAACGCUUUGGUUUCUGCUUUCCUUGCCUUUGGAAAUUGAAAUGAAUUUAUUUCCAUUAAGAAAUUCAUUCGAAUGUGU